rnacentral:rRNA from 1 species
AGCGGCGAGCGAAGCGGGAAGAGCUCAAAUUUAUAAUCUGGCACCUUCGGUGUCCGAGUUGUAAUCUCUAGAAGUGUUUUCCGCGUUGGACCGCACACAAGUCUGUUGGAAUACAGCGGCAUAGUGGUGAAACCCCCGUAUAUGGUGCGGACGCCCAGCGCUUUGUGAUACACUUUCAAUGAGUCGAGUUGUUUGGGAAUGCAGCUCAAAUUGGGUGGUAAAUUCCAUCUAAAGCUAAAUAUUGGCGAGAGACCGAUAGCGAACAAGUACCGUGAGGGAAAGAUGAAAAGCACUUUGGAAAGAGAGUUAACAGUACGUGAAAUUGUUGGAAGGGAAACGCUUGAAGUCAGACUUGCUUGCCGGAGCUUGCUUCGGUUUGCAGGCCAGCAUCAGUUUUCCGGGGUGGAUAAUGACGGUUUGAAGGUAGCAGUCUCGGCUGUGUUAUAGCUUUCCGUUGGAUACAUCCUGGGGGACUGAGGAACGCAGCGUGCUUUUUGCGAAAGACUCGUC